AUUGAACGCUGGCGGCAGGCCUAACACAUGCAAGUCGAACGAGUGGCGGACGGGUGAGUAAUGUCUGGGAAACUGCCUGUUGGAGGGGGAUAAAUACUGGAAACGGUAGCUAAUACCGCAUACCCUCAGAUGUGCCCAGAUGGGAUUAGCUAGUUGGUGGGGUAACGGCUCACCAAGGCGACGAUCCCUAGCUGGUCUGAGAGGAUGACCAGCCACACGGGAACGGGGACACGGCCCAGACUCCUACGGGAGGCAGCCGUGGGGAAGAUUGGACAAUGGGCGCAAGCCGGAUGCAGCAAUGCCGCGGGUAUGAAGAGGGCCUUCGGGUUGUAAAGUACUUUCAGCGGGGAGGCGUUACCCGAAGAAGAAGCCCCGGCUAACUCCGUGCCAGCAGCCGCGGUAAUUC
rnacentral:rRNA from 1 species